UGAAGAGUUUGAUCAUGGCUCAGAUUGAACGCUGGCGGCAGGCCUAACACAUGCAAGUCGAACGGUAACAGGAAGCAGCUUGCUGCUUCGCUGACGAGUGGCGGACGGGUGAGUAAUGUCUGGGAAACUGCCUGAUGGAGGGGGAUAACUACUGGAAACGGUGGCUAAUACCGCAUAACGUCGCAAGACCAAAGAGGGGGACCUUCGGGCCUCUUGCCAUCAGAUGUGCCCAGAUGGGAUUAGCUUGUUGGUGAGGUAACGGCUCACCAAGGCGACGAUCCCUAGCUGGUCUGAGAGGAUGACCAGCCACACUGGAACUGAGACACGGUCCAGACUCCUACGGGAGGCAGCAGUGGGGAAUAUUGCACAAUGGGCGCAAGCCUGAUGCAGCCAUGCCGCGUGUAUGAAGAAGGCCUUCGGGUUGUAAAGUACUUUCAGCGGGGAGGAAGGUGUUGUGGUUAAUAACCGCAGCAAUUGACGUUACCCGCAGAAGAAGCACCGGCUAACUCCGUGCCAGCAGCCGCGGUAAUACGGAGGGUGCAAGCGUUAAUCGGAAUUACUGGGCGUAAAGCGCACGCAGGCGGUCUGUCAAGUCGGAUGUGAAAUCCCCGGGCUCAACCUGGGAACUGCAUUCGAAACUGGCAGGC
rnacentral:rRNA from 1 species